rnacentral:lncRNA from 1 species
UAAACACAUGAGACUCUGGAGGACAUUUCGCUUAUAAUUCCUAGCUAAAACAAAAUCAGAAAUGGAGCUAUAUGGUUGAGGAACUUGCCAAACUGAUACACAACCAGAUGAAUGGUCUUAGGGGAGCUGAGAACAGUUUGGGUGUUCUUAACGUCAUGCGAUGAGGUCUACAAAGGCCCAGAUGACAUGGAAUUGAAGAUGCUUAAGCACAGAAUACUACAUAAAUGUCAAGUUUAAGGAGAGAAUGGAGAGCAGGGAAAACUUAGACCAAACAAAGUCAUUUGAGCUGAAGACUAAGCCAAGGUGGCAGCUGACUACCAGGUAUGUGACACUGGAUGACGUGAGGAUCGAUUGGAAGCACAAGAAACAUGAGAGUCAGCUUGUUUUACAGUCAUCUGGACUUGAUUUUCAGAGAACCUGAAGAUCAAAAUUCAGCAGCACGGCUUGCGGCUGACUCAAGACUUUACAGAGG